rnacentral:rRNA from 1 species
GACGGGGGGGGCAAGUGUUCUUCGGAAUUACUGGGCGUAAAGUGUGCGCAGGCGGCCGCGCAAGUCGAGUGUGAAAGCCCCGAGCUUAACUUGGGAAUUGCGCUCGAAACUACGUGGCUGGAGUGUGGCAGAGGAAGGUGGAAUUCCACGUGUAGCGGUGAAAUGCGUAGAGAUGUGGAGGAACACCAAUGGCGAAGGCAGCCUUCUGGGCCAACACUGACGCUCAUGCACGAAAGCGUGGGGAGCAAACAGG